rnacentral:rRNA from 1 species
AUUGAACGCUGGCGGCAGGCCUAACACAUGCAAGUCGAACGGUAACAGGAAUCAGCUUGCUGAUUCGCUGACGAGUGGCGGACGGGUGAGUAAUGUCUGGGAAACUGCCUGAUGGAGGGGGAUAACUACUGGAAACGGUAGCUAAUACCGCAUAACGUCGCAAGACCAAAGAGGGGGACCUUCGGGCCUCUUGCCAUCAGAUGUGCCCAGAUGGGAUUAGCUAGUAGGUGGGGUAACGGCUCACCUAGGCGACGAUCCCUAGCUGGUCUGAGAGGAUGACCAGCCACACUGGAACUGAGACACGGUCCAGACUCCUACGGGAGGCAGCAGUGGGGAAUAUUGCACAAUGGGCGCAAGCCUGAUGCAGCCAUGCCGCGUGUAUGAAGAAGGCCUUCGGGUUGUAAAGUACUUUCAGCGGGGAGGAAGGGAGUAAAGUUAAUACCUUUGCUCAUUGACGUUACCCGCAGAAGAAGCACCGGCUAACUCCGUGCCAGCAGCCGCGGUAAUACGGAGGGUGCAAGCGUUAAUCGGAAUUACUGGGCGUAAAGCGCACGCAGGCGGUUUGUUAAGUCAGAUGUGAAAUCCCCGGGCUCAACCUGGGAACUGCAUCUGAUACUGGCAAGCUUGAGUCUCGUAGAGGGGGGUAGAAUUCCAGGUGUAGCGGUGAAAUGCGUAGAGAUCUGGAGGAAUACCGGUGGCGAA